rnacentral:rRNA from 1 species
AUACGAAGGGGGCAAGCGUUGUUCGGAAUAACUGGGCGUAAAGCGCACGUAGGCGGAUUGAUCAGUUAGAGGUGAAAUCCCAGGGCUCAACCCUGGAACUGCCUUUAAUACUGUCAGUCUAGAGAUCGAGAGAGGUGAGUGGAAUUCCGAGUGUAGAGAUGAAAUUCGUAGAUAUUCGGAGGAACACCAGUGGCGAAGGCGGCUCACUGGCUCGAUUCUGACGCUGAGGUGCGAAAGCGUGGGGAGCAAACAGGAUUAGAUACCCUAGUAGUCC